rnacentral:ncRNA from 1 species
UUAAAGGUGUUGAUAAAGAGGAGUACACACCUGCCCUUGACAGAGAAAAUUACCCACUGGCUGGAAGGUGAUUACAAGUAGGAGUUGUGGAAGGUAGCUUUGGAGCCGGAUAUCUGAAUGGGUCCGACAGGACAGUAGGACAUCCCGGAGUGGUUCCCGUUAUAGAACGAAGAGAUAUAUACCUGUCAGGGAGGACGGGUAUAUAAUGAAGGUGGUACCGCGUUUAUACGCCCUUUAC